AACGAACGCUGGCGGCAGGCCUAACACAUGCAAGUCGAGCGCCCGGAUUUAUCCGGGAGCGGCGCACGGGUGAGUAACGCGUGGGAACAUGCCCUGAAGUACGGAACGACCUGGGGAAACCUUGGCUAAUACCGUAUACGCCCUGAGGGGGAAAGAUUUAUCGCUUUGGGAUUGGCCCGCGUUGGAUUAGCUGGUUGGUGUGGUAACGGCGCACCAAGGCGACGAUCCAUAACUGGUCUGAGAGGAUGGCCAGUCACACUGGGACUGAGACACGGCCCAGACUCCUACGGGAGGCAGCAGUGGGGAAUAUUGGACAAUGGGCGAAAGCCUGAUCCAGCCAUGCCGCGUGAGUGAAGAAGGCCUUCGGGUUGUAAAGCUCUUUCAGCGGGGACGAUGAUGACGGUACCCGCAGAAGAAGCCCCGGCUAACUUCGUGCCAGCCGCCGCAGUAA
rnacentral:rRNA from 1 species